ACUCUAUUUGCAAGGCGGAGUAUAUCUCGAUAUCUGAUACUGUGAAGAAAGUGUGUGGCUAUGAAAGUUUAUCAACGAGCUCAGAGUGGCACCCUCCAUCGAUGGCCCUAUCCUGUUAUACUGCGAUAGUACUGGAGCCAUUACUCAAGUCAAAGAGUUGAAGUUUCAUCAGUGCACCAAGCAUUUUCUACACUGCUACCAUCUUAUCCGAAAGAUCGUGGAUUGAGAUGACAUCGAUCUUUUGAAGAUUGAUAGAAAAGAGAAUCAGGCCAACCCAUUUACU
rnacentral:lncRNA from 1 species